rnacentral:rRNA from 1 species
AUCGAGUCACUCCAACCCCUGUGACAUACCAAUUGUUGCCUCGGCGGAUCAGCCCGCUCCCGGUAAAACGGGACGGCCCGCCAGAGGACCCCUAAACUCUGUUUCUAUAUGUAACUUCUGAGUAAAACCAUAAAUAAAUCAAAACUUUCAACAACGGAUCUCUUGGUUCUGGCAUCGAUGAAGAACGCAGCAAAAUGCGAUAAGUAAUGUGAAUUGCAGAAUUCAGUGAAUCAUCGAAUCUUUGAACGCACAUUGCGCCCGCCAGUAUUCUGGCGGGCAUGCCUGUUCGAGCGUCAUUUCAACCCUCAAGCCCCCGGGUUUGGUGUUGGGGAUCGGCGAGCCCUUGCGGCAAGCCGGCCCCGAAAUCUAGUGGCGGUCUCGCUGCAGCUUCCAUUGCGUAGUAGUAAAACCCUCGCAACUGGUACGCGGCGCGGCCAAGCCGUUAAACCCCCAACUUCUGAAUGUUGACCUCGGAUCAGGUAGGAAUACCCGCUGAACUUAAGCAUAUCAAUAAGCGGAGGAA